UAAAGAGUAGUGCAGGAGGUAGAGCGAAGAGUUUUGAUCUCUUAGGCGUAGGUUCAAUUCCUAUCUCUUUAA
rnacentral:tRNA from 1 species